rnacentral:tRNA from 1 species
GGGGAUAUAGCUCAGUUGGGAGAGCAUCGGCUUUGCAAGCCGGGGGUCAUCGGUUCGAACCCGAUUAUCUCCACCA